rnacentral:rRNA from 1 species
UGCCAGCAGCCGCGGUAAUACGUAGGGGGCAAGCGUUAUCCGGAUUUACUGGGUGUAAAGGGUGCGUAGGCGGCGAAGUAAGUCAGAUGUGAAAGCCCGAGGCUCAACCUCGGGACUGCAUUUGAAACUGCUUUGCUAGAGUGCAGGAGAGGAAAGCGGAAUUCCUAGUGUAGCGGUGAAAUGCGUAGAUAUUAGGAGGAACACCAGUGGCGAAGGCGGCUUUCUGGACUGUAACUGACGCUGAGGCACGAAAGCGUGGGGAGCGAACAGGAUUAGAUA